GGAAGGGUGGCAGAGCACGGUUUAAUGCAGCGGCUUCGAAUACCGCCGGGGGCGGGGACGUCCUCCAUGGGUUCAAAUCCCAUCCCUUCCG
rnacentral:tRNA from 1 species